rnacentral:rRNA from 1 species
AGUGAACGCUGGCGGUAGGCCUAACACAUGCAAGUCGAACGGCAGCACAGUAAGAGCUUGCUCUUACGGGUGGCGAGUGGCGGACGGGUGAGGAAUACAUCAGAAUCUACUUUUUCGUGGGGGAUAACGUAGGGAAACUUACGCUAAUACCGCAUACGACCUACGGGUGAAAGCAGGGGAUCUUCGGACCUUGCGCGAUUGAAUGGGCCGAUGUCGGAUUAGCUAGUUGGCGGGGUAAAGGCCCACCAAGGCGACGAUCCGUAGCUGGUCUGAGAGGAUGAUCAGCCACACUGGAACUGAGACACGGUCCAGACUCCUACGGGAGGCAGCAGUGGGGAAUAUUGGACAAUGGGCGCAAGCCUGAUCCAGCCAUACCGCGUGGGUGAAGAAGGCCUUCGGGUUGUAAAGCCCUUUUGUUGGGAAAGAAAAGCAGCAGGUUAAUACCCCGCUGUUCUGACGGUACCCAAAGAAUAAGCACCGGCUAACUUCGUG